AAUCCUUCAGGGUCCUCUUCCACCUCUACCUUUAGAGCCCCACACCACUAUCCCAGGGACUGACGAGUUGAAGGGAACUUUCUUAGAAACUGGCCCAUCAGCUUUCCCUAGGGGCAAUGGCAGCGGGAAAGGGGGGGGGGGGGGGGGGGGGGGGGGGGGGGAGGGGAGGAGCUGGGCACGUGGCUGGCUGGAGCUCCAAGACCCAGGUUUGGGGCUGCGGGUUCUCCCCUUGUAGUUUUUUUCCCCCACGGCCCCAGUGUUUUAACCCCACACCCAGGCAGCUCAGGAAUCCCGGCGCAGAUUGGAGAACUAGGACUAGGACAGCGCUACCCUCACGAAAGCGCCUCUGCCACCAACAGCCUGAUGGCAAAUAUGGACUGAAUCGUUGACAUGGAAACCGGACUAAAGUCUUGCUCGCUCCCUCACAAGAGAGUUCUUAUCACCAUCCCCGACCGCAAAGCACUUGGCAAACGUGGACUGGAUCUCUCGCCCAGAGGAUCAGGCGGAGUUUCUGUGCGCUGCUUUAACUCCUGCGGCUGCGGCAGCCAAGGAGGGGGGCAGGGCUGCCAGGACAAACCGACUGAAAAUGGCAGAGGAUGUUCUCAUUUUAUCUGGCUUGUACAGUGUGCAUGGAUUGGGCCGAGAAUAAGAGAACAACCUAUUAAAAUCCACGCAGUCAACUGCAAAAUGUGGAACCGAGGCCUGGAGGGUUUGUUAAGAGAGAGAAACGUUUGCAGGGAGAGAAACAGCCCUUCCUUUCUCGAAAUUUGCUUCCCCUAAGUGUGCGAAAUACAAAACUCAACAAACAAACAAAAGGUCAGUCUCGGCUCCUUCCCUUCCUCACUCCUUUUGGGGGAAGGCGUUUUAAGCCUUAGGACCCUAGUGGAGGAAUUGCCUCUGUUCUGAAUAAGGCGCUGGGAAUCGGAGGAGCGCGGGGUUGUGGCCCUCACACGCGUCCCCGCCGCGGCAAAGCAUCAGACACCCAGCGGAGCUCUCCCGAGUGCGAACUGGAGCUGCGAGUUUGAGCAAAAGGGCAACUAUGUCAGUUGACGGAAGCCAGAAGCAGAGUUCAAAUCCUGGCGUGGAUUUCCGUCUGGAGCUGUCUGCUUCUUAAAGUUUGUAACUCGGUGUUCAGAAACAGCCCCAGCGGAGGCUUUGGGAGCAGUGUGAAAGUCUAGCACUACCAUCUGACAGCGAGCAGCAAAACUUUGGGCUGCAUAUUAAGCGAGGAAAGUGGAUUGAAGCAAGAGUCAAGGCAAUUCAUUAUAUUAUCGGCUCCCAGACGGGAGCUGUAAGUUACGAACUGGAUCGCCACGGAGAAAAAUGGAAUGGAGUCUAAAUGGCGCUCAACAGCUCUUAGCGGUAAAAUUGUGGCUGCCCAGCACCUAGGAUCCUAAAGCAGCAGCAGCAGCAGCAACCGUAGAGGCAUCGAGCCUGGCGGGCGCUCAACGACUGCUUGGGUAGAUGCUUUCUUCCACUCA
rnacentral:lncRNA from 1 species